rnacentral:rRNA from 1 species
UACGAAGGGGGCAAGCGUUGUUCGGAAUUACUGGGCGUAAAGCGCACGUAGGCGGAUUUGUAAGUCAGGGGUGAAAUCCCGAGGCUCAACCUCGGAACUGCCUUUGAUACUGCAAAUCUCGAGUCCGGAAGAGGUGAGUGGAAUUCCUAGUGUAGAGGUGAAAUUCGUAGAUAUUAGGAAGAACACCAGUGGCGAAGGCGGCUCACUGGUCCGGUACUGACGCUGAGGUGCGAAAGCGUGGGGAGCAAACAGG